rnacentral:rRNA from 1 species
AUUGAACGCUGGCGGCGUGCCUAACACAUGCAAGUCGAGCGGUAACAGGUGUAGCAAUACAUGCUGACGAGCGGCGAACGGGUGAGUAAUGCUUUGGAAUCUUCCCAGUAGUGGGGAAUAACCAGUCGAAAGAUUGGCUAAUACCGCAUACGUCUGUAAAGGGAAAGCGGGGGACUCGCCUCUUCUUCGGAAGAGAGGCCUCGCGCUAUUGGAUGAGCCAAAGCGGAUUAGCUAGUUGGUGGGGUAAUGGCCUACCAAGGCGACAAUCCGUAGCUGGUCUGAGAGGACGACCAGCCACACCGGAACUGAGACACGGUCCGGACUCCUACGGGAGGCAGCAGUGGGGAAUAUUGGACAAUGGGGAAACCCUGAUCCAGCGACGCCGCGUGUGUGAAGAAGGCCUGCGGGUUGUAAAGCACUUUUAGUGGGGACAAAAGCUACGGAUUAAUACUCUGUGGUCUUGAUUUAACCUACAGAAAAGCACCGGCUAACCU